rnacentral:rRNA from 1 species
GAUCAUGGCUCAGGAUGAACGCUAGCUACAGGCUUAACACAUGCAAGUCGAGGGGCAGCAUGGUCUUAGCUUGCUAAGGCCGAUGGCGACCGGCGCACGGGUGAGUAACACGUAUCCAACCUGCCGUCUACUCUUGGACAGCCUUCUGAAAGGAAGAUUAAUACAAGAUGGCAUCAUGAGUUCACAUGUUCACAUGAUUAAAGGNUCGUUCGACGA